GACGAACGCUGGCGGCGUGCUUAACACAUGCAAGUCGAACGGAAAGGCCCUGCUUUUGUGGGGUGCUCGAGUGGCGAACGGGUGAGUAACACGUGAGUAACCUGCCCUUUACUUUGGGAUAACUUCAGGAAACUGGGGCUAAUACCGGAUAGGAGCUCCUGCUGCAUGGUGGGGGUUGGAAAGUUUCGGCGGUUGGGGAUGGACUCGCGGCUUAUCAGCUUGUUGGUGGGGAAGUGGCUUACCAAGGCUUUGACGGGUAGCCGGCCUGAGAGGGUGACCGGCCACAUUGGGACUGAGAUACGGCCCGGACUCCUACGGGAGGCAGCAGUGGGGAAUAUUGCACAAUGGGCGGAAGCCUGAUGCAGCAACGCCGCGUGCGGGAUGACGGCCUUCGGGUUGUAAACCGCUUUCGCCUGUGACGAAGCGUGAGUGACGGUAAUGGGUAAAGAAGCACCGGCUAACUACGUG
rnacentral:rRNA from 1 species